UACGUAGGCAGCGAGCGUUUGUUCGGAAUUACUGGGCGUAAAGAGUGUGUAGGCGGUGCUCUAAGUUCGGUGUGAAAUCUCCCGCUUAACUGGGAGGGUGCGCCGGAAACUGGAGUGCUCGAGCGUGGGAGAGGAGAGUGGAAUUCCCGGUGUAGCGGUGAAAUGCGCAGAUAUCGGGAAGAACACCCGUGGCGAAGGCGGCUCUCUGGGACGGUACUGACGCUGAGACGGCGAAAAGCGUGGGGAGCGAACAGG
rnacentral:rRNA from 1 species